rnacentral:rRNA from 1 species
CGAGUGGCGGACGGGUGAGUAAUGUCUGGGAAACUGCCUGAUGGAGGGGGAUAACUACUGGAAACGGUAGCUAAUACCGCAUAACGUCGCAAGACCAAAGAGGGGGACCUUCGGGCCUCUUGCCAUCGGAUGUGCCCAGAUGGGAUUAGCUAGUAGGUGGGGUAACGGCUCACCUAGGCGACGAUCCCUAGCUGGUCUGAGAGGAUGACCAGCCACACUGGAACUGAGACACGGUCCAG